UUCUGCCAAUUAGUCUUAGAUCCAAAUACAAGUCCUUGCUACAAAUAAAUUUUAUUGUUAAAAUGUUCAAAUAAAUACAAAACAUCACACAUUAAUUUUUUUUUAAUAAUCCAAGGAGUCCAAUUCAUGGGUGUGGGGCCAUCCAUUGAGGCAUGCUCAACACCAGAGCCUCAUGGUUAAAGAAAAUGGCUCCUACUUUCCCAGCAGUCACUAGCUGUCUAUUCCUCAUUCAGGGGUGAGAUCUGGUGCACACCUCUCUAUACCGAGAGUUCAUGAGUACAGUGGUCCUGAAAUGUCCCGAGCACUGGUUUGUGCCAGUCCUCCCACACCUCUGGGUAUUAUGAUCUUGUCAGCCUUUGUUUCUGGAUAGUUCCAGUGCCUUGUGAUGAUAGAGAUGUCCCGUUAGGUUAGCAAGCCAGAACGUCCCACAGUUCUUAAUUCUAAAGUGAUGACUUAGGUCUCCUCCCUAGCAUGGCUGUUAGCUCACUAGCGCAAGGAUAGUAUGAGCUUGGUCACCAUUUCCUGUCCUUCCCUCGCACGAUCUGACCCCAUCAUCUUCACGUCUUGAAAUGGGAGAGAAUUGUCACCAGUAAUUACUGCAUAGCAGAUGAGCCUAAAACUUGUUCUGAAGCAGUGAUUUGUCAUCCCGUUUCCAUGAGUUCACUGGACAACUUACUCUGCAUCAUGUAGUGACAUCUGAGACCUCUCUCGUCUUUACAUUCAGCCCUCUGCUGGGCUGCAGUGCCUUGGUUCUCCUACUCACAGUGGGUUAGUUUAGACUUGCUUAGCACACAGCAUCAGGGUUCCAAGAGGACCAUGUAGAGGUGCUUAUUAAAUUUCAGAUGGCGCCACAUCUCCUAGAGGUUUGAACAAUUUCCACAAGCAGACCACUGGUGAUCAUGAGGGAACACCAAUGUGACAGUCUAAGUCCUUAACAGGAGAAUCUAGCUCUUUGACUCUUCCAAACAUUUUCAGCGUAUGCCCAGGGAACAUGUGGUGUGUAACAUGUUAUUAGCUGUAGAGACUGCUCUUCCCUCAUAAGGAUGGGAAAACACAUAUUUGGCUUACUCAUAUGGUCCAACCUUGAGUCAUGAAGGAGAGUUGAGAGUUUGGAAUGGGUUUCUUAGCGUAUUUUUCUUCUUUCAACUUCCAAAACAGACCUUGGUUCAGAGACAGUGAAGUCAACCUCAGAGUAGACAGGAAACGUGGUGCCAAUAAAUAAAUAAACAAAUAAGUAAAUAAAUAAAUAAUAAACAAAGUAAAAAAAUGCUGUAUUAGGUAAAGUUCCUAGCAUAACGACCCAGUAAUUCUGCACACACUAUCAGUCACUGGAUGAAUCAACAUAAUAUUUUCAUCUAAUUUCUAAAAUCAUGGUGCCUUAAGAUCAACCUUUGUGAAAUACAAAUCUUCAAUAUAUAAUGUGUCUGAUAUUCGAGCACUUCACAUAUGAUGUCAGGAGGAGAAACUUCUUUGGGGGAAGUAAGAGAGCAUGAAGCUGUGUUUCAUAAAGUCAGAUUUAAGGUAGAAUUUGGGGAAACAGGCAAAGCUAUGGUAAGAUGGAUGAAGACCAUCGUAGAGCAGAAAAGUGAUUCCAGAUUUGGAUGAAUCUUUCUGAAAGAAUGGAUCGAAGUAAUGUGUGCGUGGGGUCCUUCUCUUUUCUUGUCGAUUUCAAGAAAACACUCAUCAUUCAUUCAUCUCGAUUGGAUAUGGUGGCCCCUCACCCCGCACAAUCUGUGUGUUACCUGUAAACGUCCAAACUCACCGGUGAUCUCUCUCUGUUUUUGAGUCCUCUACACACAAAAAGAAACAUGGGUAGGCAAUAACUUCUUAGAAUGAGACUAAUUCAAGAGUAACAUAAAAGAUGGGUUUUACGGCAAGAUAUGGGUAACUUUCAACUGUCCUUAAUGAAGAAUUCAAACACUAAAAGGUUUUGGUCUCAACAUUGUAAUGAUCAAUAGACGUGAGGGUGGUGCCUUUUCAAUGAGGACACAAGCCUAGAAAUAAAGUUAUUUCAGAUUCCCCGGAUCGCACUAUCAAUCUAAUCCAAGUAAUUGUCUAUGUUAACUACAGUCAAAACUAGCAUUCAAUGAACAUUUAACCAGAUAUGGAACAGGGUUUAAGUCUUCCUUCCUAGAUGAACAUAUGUUCCUAGAGUUGUAAGAUUUCUCUACACUUGGGCAAUAGUGUUACCGGCAUUAGUGCUUUCACAAUGGCAAGCCAAGCCCUCAAGCUACUGUGAACAUCCCACUGUCUAGUUUGAAUUGUUUUCCUGGUGGAGUUGAAGUGACUCCAGAAGGUCACCCCGAGUGACCAUGUGUCCCUUAGUGUGGUGGUGGCUGUUCUGCAGUCCUUUCACAGCCGGACAUCACUUGUACUUGAGAUUUUUGAAGUAAAUGUAGAACCUAUUGUUUCUUCAGAGACCACUUAUGUCAGAGAAGUGAAUUUGGGUAGCUGUGAAUUUGGCGGGAAGGGGUGAGCAGAGGUGCACGUUCUGGCACUUUCCACUAAGGGUACUCUCUUGCGUGGGGGAGGGCGAGACGCACCCCCACCCCAGUCCUUCUCCAGCAAGUGCACCUCAGCCGAGAUUUGGGGAUCGCCUCACCUGUAUUUACAAGCGCACCACCGCACGCCCCUCACCGUGCACCCGCAGCCUCGCCUUCCAUAGCUAGCCCGAGCCGAGCCGGACAGACCAAGGGGGACAGACUAAUCGGCGCGAGCGAGCGAGUAAGCGAGCGAGCGCGGAGACCGGGCAGCGAGAAGCGCGAGCGCGGGACGAGCGGCGGUUCAAUUAGCGAAACAAAGCAAUCAUGGCGGAGCGAGCACACCGGGCUGCGCGCCCCGAGGACUCGGCGACCGCCCCGCGCCCUGGCCGAGAUGCUGCUGUUGAGAUUUGCUAAGACAUUAUAUGCACUAUCAGUGCCUGUCAUGGAGGGGCUUGGGACACA
ensembl:lncRNA